UUAAAUUUAUCAAUUAUUGCUAAUUUAGUUUUUUAAAUAAUCUAUUCGGUGUAGUGAGAACGAAAUUAAUUAGUCUUUUGUGUUUCUUUGUAUCUUUUUUUUUCGAUUGUUCAUUUAUCUGUUGCGUCAUUAGUAGCGUCGCGUAUCGAAAUAUUUCGAGAAUUUGAAAUCAUAUAUUGGUUUUUUGUAAUAUAAUUUUUAAUCAUAUACAUUUAUUGUACGUUUUUGAUCUUUAUUUUUUAUCAUUUUAGUCGUAUUAAAAUAAAAGAAAUUUUUUAUGAUUCGUUAUGAAUUCAUUUCGUGAAAUCGAAUUAUUCAAGUGACACAUAUUUUUGCGAAUGUAUAUAUAUUGUAUGCAACGUCUCGCGUGUAUGUUAUUGUUUUCUUUUUUUGGUCUAUCGUUUAUAUUUUGCUCGAGGCUAGAAACAUAUCUUAUGUUUAUAUUCGAUCGUAUCCAAGAAAUUAGAUUCGUGUUCAAACAUGUUUUGACUUGUCGAACGUAUCCCCUCUCCAUUUUGUUAUUAUUCGAUGCGCAAAGUCGAAUCGCGCAGUAAAGUGACAUUGUUCGUUGAUUCGUCGUGGCAAUUAGACGUUUGAAAUUUUCUCGAGACGUGUGUUCUAUUUAAUGCGUAGUAUUUUAAUAUUAUUUUUUAUAUAGUUAUUUUUUUUAUAUAUAGUUAUUUAUUUGUGCGUCUUUAUUUAAUUAAUACAUCUUUAUUCAAUAUUUUAUUAUUUCGCGCGGUUUUUAAUUGAAGAAAUAAGUAUCAUGCGCCAACCAAUCAGAACGUCGCUUAAUUCGAAACGCAAGACGAAUCAGUGCGCAUCAUAGUGCGCAUGGCGUUAGUCUACAGUUGAAAAUUGUGACAAGAAGACGGAUCAUCGCAAAUUCGGAUUACGCAGUUUAAUUGGUAGCAUCUUGAUAGCUUUCAAAAGGCGGGAAAAAUCCCAAUAUGGACGCCAUGUCUUUCUUGAUGAUGUGGUAAAAUUUUAUAUUUCAAAAUAUUUGUGAUCGCGCGCAAUGCGAUUAAUAGAAUCAGUGUUUGUUUCGUCAUAGUAUUUUUAAUAUUUUUUAGAGCACAAUAGCUCUGAUCAAAUUUAAUUAAAAUAAUCACACGCGAAGAUAGAAUCAGUGUUUGUUCGCCGAUUAUAAUUUAUACGGACGCGUUAUUAAUUUCUUAUUUUUAUUUUUUUUUUUUUUUACAAAUAUUCGUUUUCGGUACAGGAUAGAAUCAGUGCUUCUCUCAAGAGAAUACGGCGAUCAUCCACCACGCGAAGAGAUGCUGAUGAGCUUUAUGAAGAUUUUUCUUGAACUUUAAAAAAUAUUUGUGACCACGCGCAAUGUGGUUAUUAGAAUCAGUGUUUGAUUCGUAACAAUAUUUUAAAUAGAUUUUUAGAGGACAAUAGUUUUAAUUAAGUUAAGCUUUAAUUAUAAUAGUUAUACGCGAAAUUAGAAUCAGUGCUUGUUCGCCGACUACAGAAUAUAUACGAACGCGUUAAUAGUUUCUUAUUUUUAUUUUUUUAUUUUAAAUAUUCGUUUUCGGUACAGAGUAGAGUCAGUGCUUCUCUCAAGAGUAUAAGGUGAUCAUCCAUCACGCGAAGAGAUUUCUUCCAUUCUUCUACCUGAUGGCAGCCUUAUUCUCGAUGACUUCUGGGCCACAAUAAGAGAAGUGAAGGCGUUCGUCGCAUCAUAUGGUGAGUCGCAUGCUUUUUGGUUCCUCCGAUCACUCAACCAUGUCGUAGGAUGAAAGAUCCGAAUCGACACGAGUGACUGGUUGUAUACGUAGAAUUUUACACGAGCACAAUGACCGCGAAUAUUUAUUUAUAAUAUUCGUGAGUAGUAACAAUUUUUUUUUUUGUUUUUUAUUAGU